rnacentral:rRNA from 1 species
AUUGCCCCAGUAACGGGCGAGUGAAGCGGCAACAGCUCAAAUUUGAAAUCUGGCCCCCGGGUCCGAGUUGUAAUUUGUAGAGGAAGCUUUUGGUGCGGUACCUUCCGAGUUCCCUGGAACGGGACGCCAUAGAGGGUGAGAGCCCCGUCUGGUCGGAUACCAAUCCUCUGUAAAGCUCCUUCGACGAGUCGAGUAGUUUGGGAAUGCUGCUCUAAAUGGGAGGUAUAUGUCUUCUAAAGCUAAAUACCGGCCAGAGACCGAUAGCGCACAAGUAGAGUGAUCGAAAGAUGAAAAGCACUUUGAAAAGAGAGUUAAAAAGUACGUGAAAUUGUUGAAAGGGAAGCGCUCAUGACCAGACGUGGGCUUGGUUGAUCAACCUGGGUUCUCCCCGGUGCACUCUUCCUCGCCCAGGCCAGCAUCAGUUUGCUUCGGGGGAUAAAGGCGUCGGGAAUGUGGCUCCCCCGGGAGUGUUAUAGCCCGUCGUGCAAUACCCUGCGGCAGACUGAGGUUCGCGUUCCGCAAGGAUGCUGGCGUAAUGGUCAUCAGCGACCCGUCUUGAAACACGGACCAAGGAGUCGUCUUCGUAUGCGAGUGUUCGGGUGUUAAACCCCUACGCGAAAUGAAAGUGAACGUAGGUGAGAGCUUCGGCGCAUCACCGACCGAUCCUGAUGUUCUCGGAUGGAUUUGAGUAAGAGCAUACGGGGCCGGACCCGAAAGAAGGUGAACUAUGCCUGUAUAGGGUGAAGCCAGAGGAAACUCUGGUGGAGGCUCGCAGCGGUUCUGACGUGCAAAUCGAUCGUCAAAUAUGGGCAUGGGGGCGAAAGACUAAUCGAACCUUCUAGUAGCUGGUUUCCGCCGAAGUUUCCCUCAGGAUAGCAGUGUUGGACUCAGUUUUAUGAGGUAAAGCGAAUGAUUAGGGACUCGAGGGCGCUUUUUAGCCUUCAUCCAUUCUCCAACUUUAAAUAUGUAAGAAAGCCCUUGUUUCUUAACUGAACGGGGGCAUUCGAAUGGAUCAACCCUAAUGGGCCAUUUUUGGUAAGCAAACUGGGGA